UACGUAGGGUGCAAGCGUUGGCCGGAUUUAUUGGGUUUAAAGGGUGCUUAGGUGGCUUUUUAAGUCAUGGGUGAGAUCCCACAGCUCAACUGAGGAACUGCCUGUGAUGCUGAUUAGCUUGAGUGCGGUUGAGGCAGCUGGAAUUGGUGGUGUAGCGGUGAAAUGCAUAGAUACCACCAGGAACACCGAUUGCGAAGGCAGGUUGCUAAGACGUAACUGACACUGAGGCAAGAAAGGGUGGAGAUCAAACAGG
rnacentral:rRNA from 1 species